AACCAUUGGAAACGAUGGCUAAUACCGCAUACGCCCUAUUGGGGAAAGAUUUAUCGGUGUUGGAUUGGCCCGCGUUAGAUUAGCUAGUUGGUGGGGUAAUGGCUCACCAAGGCGACGAUUUAUAGCUGGUUUGAGAGGAUGAUCAGCAACACUGGAACUGAGACACGGUCCAGACUCCUACGGGAGGCAGCAGUCGGGAAUAUUGUGCAAUGGGGGCAACCCUGACACAGCCAUGCCGCGUGAGUGAAGAAGGCCUUAGGGUUGUAAAGCUCUUUCAGAUGUGAGGAUGAUGACGAUAGCAUCAGAAGAAGCUCCGGCUAACUUCGUGCCAGCAGCCGCGGUAAUACGAAGGGAGCUAGCGUUGUUCGGAAUUACUGCGCCGUAAGGGCGUG
rnacentral:rRNA from 1 species